rnacentral:rRNA from 1 species
GAUGAACGCUAGCGGGAGGCCUAACACAUGCAAGCCGAGCGGUAGAGUUUCUUCGGAAACUUGAGAGCGGCGCACGGGUGCGUAACACGUGUGCAACCUACCUUUAUCUGGGGGAUAGCCUUUCGAAAGGAAGAUUAAUACCCCAUAAUAUAAUGAUUGGCAUCAAUUAUUAUUGAAAACUCCGGUGGAUAGAGAUGGGCACGCGCAAGAUUAGAUAGUUGGUGAGGUAACGGCUCACCAAGUCAAUGAUCUUUAGGGGUCCUGAGAGGGAGAUCCCCCACACUGGUACUGAGACACGGACCAGACUCCUACGGGAGGCAGCAGUGAGGAAUAUUGGACAAUGGGUGAGAGCCUGAUCCAGCCAUCCCGCGUGAAGGAUGACGGUCCUAUGGAUUGUAAACUUCUUUUGUACAGGGAUAAACCUACCCUCGUGAGGGUAGCUGAAGGUACCGUACGAAUAAGCACCGGCUAACUCCGUG